UACGUAGGGUGCAAGCGUUGUCCGGAAUUAUUGGGCGUAAAGAGCUCGUAGGCGGCUUGUCGCGUCGACUGUGAAAAACCACGACUCAACCGUGGGACUGCAGUCGAUACGGGCAGGCUAGAGUUCGGUAGGGGAGAGUGGAAUUCCUGGUGUAGCGGUGAAAUGCGCAGAUAUCAGGAGGAACACCGGUGGCGAAGGCGGGUCUCUGGGCCGAUACUGACGCUGAGGAGCGAAAGCGUGGGGAGCGAACAGG
rnacentral:rRNA from 1 species